UACGUAGGGUCCGAGCGUUGUCCGGAAUUAUUGGGCGUAAAGAGCACGCAGGCGGUUUGGUAAGUCGGAUGUGAAAUCUCCAGGCUCAACUUGGAGGGGUCAUUCGGUACUGCCAUGACUAGAGUUCGGUAGGGGAGUGUGGAAUACCUGGUGGAGCGGUGAAAUGCGCAGAUAUCAGGUGGAACACCGAUGGCGAAGGCAGGUCUCUGGGCCGAUACUGACGCUGAGGAGCGAAAGCGUGGGGAGCGAACAGG
rnacentral:rRNA from 1 species